ACGUACACUCCUGCGGGAGGCAGCAGUGGGGAAUAUUGCACAAUGGGCGCAAGCCUGAUGCAGCCAUGCCGCGUGUAUGAAGAAGGCCUUCGGGUUGUAAAGUACUUUCAGCGGGGAGGAAGGCAAUACGGUUAAUAACCGUGUUGAUUGACGUUACCCGCAGAAGAAGCACCGGCUAACUCCGUGCCAGCAGCCGCGGUAAUACGGAGGGUGCAAGCGUUAAUCGGAAUUACUGGGCGUAAAGCGCACGCAGGCGGUCUGUCAAGUCGGAUGUGAAAUCCCCGGGCUCAACCUGGGAACUGCAUUCGAAACUGGCAGGCUUGAGUCUUGUAGAGGGGGGUAGAAUUCCAGGUGUAGCGGUGAAAUGCGUAGAGAUCUGGAGGAAUACCGGUGGCGAAGGCGGCCCCCUGGACAAAGACUGACGCUCAGGUGCGAAAGCGUGGGGAGCAAACAGGAUUAGAAACCCCUGUAGUCCCA
rnacentral:rRNA from 1 species